CGGUAAGUGGUGUAUAAAGCAUGUGUAAUUUCGGCUUACAGGGAGAAUAGGAGUUCCUUACCAU
rnacentral:tRNA from 1 species